rnacentral:rRNA from 7 species
UAGGGAAUCUUCCGCAAUGGACGAAAGUCUGACGGAGCAACGCCGCGUGAACGAAGAAGGCCUUCGGGUCGUAAAGUUCUGUUGUUAGGGAAGAACAAGUACCAGAGUAACUGCUGGUACCUUGACGGUACCUAACCAGAAAGCCACGGCUAACUACGUG